CCAAACUUGGUCAUUUAGAGGAAGUAAAAGUCGUAACAAGGUCUCCGUUGGUGAACCAGCGGAGGGAUCAUUACAGAGUCGUAAAACACUCCCAACCCCUUUGUAAAUCUACCUGUUUUCGUUGCUUCGGCAGGCGGCCCCAGGGCGGGGCCAUGGCCGCGAGGUGCCUGCCGAAGAACACACAAACUCUUGUUUCAGUGGUCUUCAGAGUAUAAAACACAAAUAAGUCAAAACUUUCAACAACGGAUCUCUUGGUUCUAGCAUCGAUGAAGAACGCAGC
rnacentral:misc_RNA from 1 species